GAAUCAUAAUUAAUGAAAAUCCACAAAUGCCUGGUGUUUUUAUCGUGUUGUCUUUAUUUUUUAUCGAUUGCAUGACGAUCUUGCGGUAUAUCAUUGAUAAUUGUUCUAAGUAUUGGUUCAGAAUAAAAACUUAAUCCAUGGUGUCGCAAUGAACAUUGUGUUAACCUAGAAAGUAUGAAUAAGGUUGAGAUAUUUUACAAUGCUACACGCGUUGAAUUUAAGAGUAAGAUCAAAUAUCAGUAGUUUGUAGACAGGAUAAUAUUACAAGGUAGAACUAAAUGUACUGCGGCAAAUAUUACAUACAUAUAUGCAGGUAUAUAUUUUACAAUGAUACACGCUUUGAAUUUAAGAGUAAGAUCAAAUAUUAGUAGUUAAUAGCCAGCCUUGUAGCUAAGAUAAUAUUACAAGGUAGAACUAAAUGUACUGCGGCAACUAUCACAUACAUAUGCAGGUUGAAAAUAAUAUUUAUGUUAUAUGUUUAUAUUGUAUGAAUGUACUCAGAUUUAAAAGACCAGCACGCUGAGUUGAAGCAUAAAGAUCUAUAUUUUAAAUAUUACCCUGGCUACAAGCUAUGUAUGAAUACUGUUUGCUGAAGUCCUUUUGCUGAAAUUAAAAAAAAAAACAUUAUCAUCAGCACAUAGUAAACAAUGUGAAUUGCUGACCCCCAUAUUCCUUAGAAAGAAGUUUAAGGAUCCAUACUGUGAAGG
rnacentral:lncRNA from 1 species